GCGGAAUUCUCCACGAGUUUUGAGCAGCGUCGGUUUUCCCACCACCUCCAAAUCAUGCAAGUGCAGGCAGAGCCCCCGGAGCCAUGGCCAGCCCUUCCGGCAGCUCCGAAGCCACUGGCAAGCCCCGAGGCAGGGAUGGCCGGCCCAGGAGGGAGGAGGACGACGUCCCUCCCGAGGAGAAGAGGCUGCGCCUGGGGCUGGAGGGGGGAAGCGCACAGCCCGAGGACUGCGAGGACGGGGAGGACGCGCCGCGGCCGGGCAGGGAGGAGACCGGCACCCAGACAGGUGGCGACGGCAGAGGAUUUCUAUGGGAAUACUCUCUUUGAAGAACCCAUGAAGCUGUGUCAGGCUGGUGUGAGGAUCAGCAGUGAUUUCUUUGAGGAGGAGAGCCCGUUUCUUCACUCACAGGCCAUGUCUGAGUGGAUCAAGAAGAACAGAGUGCCCUUUUAUGAGAUUUUGUCUGCGUAGACCAUUAGCUUGGUAAAAAUGUCAAAACCAUCCUCGUUCUUUAAUAGCAGAUUAUUUUGGACUUUUCUCUGCAAGAAGCAGCAUGGGCGUUCAGAUGCUUUUAAGGAUAAAAUGUUCUUUCUCAUCACCAGGCCUGGUGCUCUGGAUCCUGAGGUUUUAAUGUGACUGGAUGUCCCUUGGAGUGGCUCCCAGGCUGUGCUCUUGUGGUUGGGUGGCAAGGGGUUGCUUUAUUCGGUGGUGGCUAGAGGAUGUUUUAGCAGGGAAAUCGGGCCCCCAGGAGCCCCUGGGUGCCAAGUCCUGGUUCAGGGCAUGUGUUUAUGGUGGGAGAUGGGGGGUGGAGGGUGGGGGGGCGUUGAUUUCCUGCCAAUAUCAGAAGUUUCACAGGCUUCUUGUGUAUCCACAAACACCCACCCCAUUGAGAAGGCCUAGAAAACCUGGCCUUCCCCAAGCCUUUAUUGACCCCUUGUGAAUGAUCCCAGGGUGUGUCUGACCCCCAGCUCCUCCUGGAGGGAGAGAAAAGUCUCUCCUAGGUAUUUGGUUAUUAACCUCAACCAUUUGCUGAGCCUUCCCCAAGACCAGGCACCUCGGCAGAGAUUUCUGGGUUGUCAGUCGGAACCGAGCAUUCAAGGGUAAUAACUCAUUGGAGUCCCUGAAAUCCCUGAUGGAUGCACCAGGUAAAAGCAUCCAGGGUUGAAACCAGAUGAGGAAGGUUAUUGUCAGCCUGGGCCUCCUGUAGAGGUGCAUCCACGUUGCAGGUAUUUUCCCUUCUUGCUGAGGAGAAACCUGGAUUUCUCAGCUUUGGCACAGUGACAACACUUGGGGUGAGACCAUUAGUGGUGGUGGUGGCGGGGCCGUCCUGGGUAUUGUAGGAGGGUUAGCAGCAUCUCUGCUCUCCAUCCUCUAGGUGCCUUCUACCCUCCCAGCUAUGGCUACCCCAGAUGUCUCCAGGCGGUUUCAAAUGCCAUGGAGCAAGGGAGUGCUGGACUACACAGGCUGAAGCUCUCUCUGCCGAGAUAUAGAUAUUUCCCUGGCAACGAUCUUUCAAGCUGACAUGAAGACAUGGCCACCCGCUGGAACGUGGUGUGUCUGCCAUGGCGCUCUUGUAAUUCCUGAGGCAGGCUCCUGAGGAAUGCAGUGCAACUCAAGGGACAGGAAGGAGAUGAGUUGGAGGCUGGGACAGGGGUCCCUGCCAGGGAUGCUGGUGACUCACAUGACGGUGUUGAUGUGUGGAGUCCGGUGCCUGGUUUGGGGAAUGUUCGCGGGAUAUGUGCCAAAGGACUGACGGACCUAUCAGGUGCAGCGGCUCACAUUUGUAAUCCCAGCACUUUGGGAGGCCGAGGCUGCUGGAUCACCUAAGGUCAGGAGUUCGAGACCAGCCUGGCCAACACGGCGAAACUGUCUCUACUAAAAAUACAGAAAUUAGCCAGGUGUGAUGGCACACACCUGUAAUCCCAGCUACUUGGGAGGCUGAGGCAGGAGAAUCAUUUGAACUUGGGAGACAGAGGUUGCAGUCAGCCGAGAUCGCACCACUGCACUUCAGCCAGCCUGGGUGACAGGGCGAGACUCUCUUUCAAAAAUAAAUAAAUAAAAUAGAAUUCUGAAUUUUG
rnacentral:lncRNA from 1 species